rnacentral:lncRNA from 1 species
CCAAAUUGUAGCCGCCGCCGCACUCGCGCGCGCUGCUCGCGAAAGGCCCCUAAAGAUAAAAUAUGUGUCUGUGUGNGCGGCGCGCGCCUGCGCGCAUCAAGCGGCCAUUGCUGAGGAGGACCUUGUUUCUUUUCAUCAGCUUUUGUCUUUUCUACUGGAUGGAAGCAUGUAAAAAAUGAUACUGAAGAGAAACAAUGUUGGUCCUCGAUAUUCAAGGCUUUCUUUCACUUGCAUCGGUCUUUGCCACAUGACACCUAGUGAAGCAGCAAGCUCCAGAGUUGCCUGUUCCUCUGUUUGCUUACACUCUUGAUGACAUCACAUUUUUCUUCACCUGCCAGAAAAUUCUCGAGCUGGGAGCUCCUAUGGUAAUAUUUGAGCAGCCUUGGAUAUGCAAACUCUCCUUCCUCUGAACAGAAAAGGAAGAUGCUGGGCUCUUCACAAGGAGGGAAGAAGGGAAGGAAAAAGAAGAGAAGGAAGGAAGAACUGGUCACAUCAUAUUUGGCUUCAGAGUCUCGAAAUAUUGUACAGUGGCUAAGAGGACCUAAGUGCUCACCAAGUGCAAAACAAGCCAGAAAACCUCCAAACACAGCAGGACAUCUUAGCACUGCAGAACUGUCCCCAC